UCUGUAAGUAUGUCCUUGGUGAGGGUAUAAAAAAACUCUAUAGUGAAUGAAUAAACACAUGUGUGCCUGCCCUCCAGGGGCCUGCAUUACAUUUGGGAAAAUGUGCAGAACCAUUUUGAGGCUAAAGUAGAUGAUGGUUCAGAACAUAAAUGUUAAGGGAACUUGGAAAGCAAACCACUGGGCUGUACUUGGGGAAGUCUUCUUGGGCAGAAUGGUCUUGAGCAAAGCCUUGAACAAUGAAUUUGCAUAGGAGGAGGGCAGAGGGGAUAUUUCUGUGGCCGGAAAUGGGGUAAGCCCAGGACACCUGUCUGAUAGGAAGGGUGUGAACUGUGACAUGAGGAAGAAAGAUACGAGGUGGGUGGAGUGGGUCCAGAUUGCAGAGGUCUGUAAAAGCCAGCCAGCCAGGCUGAAGAAUCUGUGGGAGGGCAGAGUAAAUUAUACUAAGUUCUAGAAAUACAAUCAUCUGCCCCACACAGGUUCAACAGGACACACAACUCUGACCUUGACUGAGAGGUGGGGAGGGGACGGCCAAAACAAAACCCCAGAACACUCUUGUUUAGAAACUUCAGCUAAGUUCAGACUGUGUUUAGAAUCUCUGGCACACAGAAAGAGCUAUCAUCCUUCAUGCAGUCAUCCGUGUGAGGGAAGAGACAGCGUUACUGGCAAAGCAGCUCUGGGGGCCCAGCCAAGUGCUGGCCUGGGAGGCAGGAGCCCAGCUUUGUUAGCCUUAGUUCUGCCACCAAACCCUGACAUUGAAAAGUGUACUUAACCUCCUCUCUGGAUAUCAAGGUCACCCCUUCUUCAUCUCUAAAGACCUUUCUUAUUAUGAAUCCAUGUCUUAGAGAAAAUAGUCAUCUGAUUUUUGUCAGAAAUAAUUAAAUAUUUUAAAAUUUUAAGUUGAUUUAGACUGUAGGCCAAGAUAUAAAAAUGGGGGGGGGGGGUUCAACUCUGACUCUACUGAGCCCUGGAAGGAUAGAGGGGAGGAGGAGGGGACUGAUGCUGUUUUCAGUUUUUCUCCUUCCUCCUUUCCCUCUGGGAGGCAGCGAGUAUAGUGGUUAAGACCCAGGAUCUGGAAUAGACCGACUUGGGUUCAAAGUCAGCAUCAUGACAGACUAGGGAAUGUGACCUCUCUGAGUCUCUGUGUCUUCACCUGUGAGAUGGGGUUAUAAGAACUACUUCCCUGAGUUGCAGUGAGGAUUAAACGAGAGGCACCGUAAAUACUGGGCACAGGAGAGGGUUCACUGAAUAAAAGCUGGCUAACACAAUUCAUGGAGUCAUUGAGGGAAAGUGUAGCUGCACAGACCUUCUGUGUCUAGGUUUCAAUGAUUUUCUUUCAUCCAUAGUUCUCGGAGCUUCCAGCACCAUAUGAGGCUUACAGACCACAGGCUCUGAUGUGUUUAACUUGAAAAAGCAGGCAGUGUUUUCCUGUGAAGCGUGGUUCCACUGUAGUGUUUGGCUGCACCCAGAGAGGAGGCACGUUGGAUGGUCCCCCAGCUUGUGCAAAGCCUCUUCAGAACACCGUUGGACUACAUGGACCAUAAAUUACAAGGUGGAGGUUGAUGAGACCCACCCCACCCCUCCACCCAGGGGCCGAGGCACGAGUAGGAAUGCCCAGCAGACAGGCACACUGGCCAGACAACACGACCUCCCUGGAAAUGUGUCUGAUCCCAUCACACCUUCUUCUAAAACCCUCCCAUGGCCUUCCAAGUCACUGGGAGGAAAAGGCAAAAAUUCGACAACGACCUCCACAGCCCCCAUGCUCUGACCCCGUGCCGCCCUCUCCGAUCUCAUCCCCUCUCACUCACCCCUGGACCACCGGCGGCAUCAGACACGAAGGCCGCCUUACCGCUCCCCAGUGUGCCAGGCACGUUCCUCCCUUAGCCUUUUAUAGUUUGUUCUCUGUGCCUGAUGAACUCGACCGCCCCCACCAACCCCUUCCGCUUCGUAGUGUCCUUUGCGUCCUCAGUUCAGAUGUCGCCUCCAGGCAUGCUGAAGCCACCUUUAUAACCACUGCCCCACAAGAGACUCUUCCUUUCCCUGCCUUGUUUUUCACUGUAGUAUUCGUUUCUCCCCAACCUACUACAUAGUUGCUGGUAUAAUUAUUAUUGCCUGUCUCUCUUCAUUAGAUUGUCAGUUCCACGUGUGGGAGCUUUAUUUAGCUCACUCUUUUAUCCCCGAGUGCCUGGAACAAUGUCUGCCACAAAAAUAAAUGUUAUGGGUUUCACAUUGUUCAAGCCCCUCCAGGUAGAGCCUUCUUUUCCGUAAGACAGCCUCAAGGAGGGAGCAUGCAGGGAGGAGCCCACUGAGGAAUGACCUCCUAGAUCUUCCGUGAGGUGACACUGGGAGCGAUGGUGACAGCGGUGAUCGAGGUGACGGCAGUGGUGAUGGGGCUGGAGACGACAACGAAGGGGUGGUUGCUAGCCCCGUGGGGCUGCAGGGGGGCUGCGGGGGAGCUGCAGCCUCACGGCACAUGGACGUUUGCCGGCCACGCCCUGGGGACCAGCACCCUGCAGGGAUUCACCGUGCGCCACCUCCUGCCGUCCUCAGCGAGCCUUUGGCAGGCACUGCGGGAGUGUUGGCCCAGUGCACCCGCGAGGGUGGGCAGCUCACACCAAGUGACACAACCUGAGAAUCGUAGGAGUCGGGCUGGAAUCUGGGCAGCGGCCCCUGGAGCUUGCACUCUCGACCAGCACGGGGAGGUAUAGUCAGAUGUUAAGGCAAAGGGAAGCUCAUCGAGGCCAGCUGGCCUUCUGGUAAAACCCAGACUCUUGAUAAGCAGCAGGAAUCUCAAACUGGGAAGGCUUGGGCAGGGCUCCAGCUCAACCCGACACUGGUAAUUCACUCCCUCAACUACUCCCUCUGACCACACUGCUGUGUAUGUUACAUGUGUAACGUAUAAUGAGAGUCCCUGUGUUCGCAUGACAUUAAAAAGCCUUUCAUAAUGUGGCCCCUUCUCCUCCAGCCUCAUUUCUCCCUCAGAUCCCUUCCUUCUCUAUGUAGCCAGAUGGAGCGUCCCUACAGGGGCCCUAGUUUGCCAUAUUCUCUAAGGAACUCCACUUCCUUAAUGCUCUUCCUGCCCCGGCCCUCAACCUGCAUAAGUGUCCCUCCUGGGUGCCCCGCCAGCUCCCAGAGAGGUGAUAGCACUUAGGUGAUACCGUGUCUAUUUAUAGCACUGAACUUGCCUCCCGCAGUAGAGCUUUCAGGGCAGAUACUGAUCUGUUCCUUUUCUUAUCCCCAGUGCCAGCUAAUUUGCCUGGAUUAUAGGAGGUGCUUAAUGCAUGAUGGAUGGAUGUAACAGUGCAUAACUUACAAAGCUGGGCCCCUCGUUCUCAGCACUCCCCACGGCCAGAGUGCCCACUCCUUAGGGGGUUGGGGUCUUGGGAAAGUACCAAAGUUUGAAAGUUUAGUAGGAGUAAGUGUUAGGUGGAAAUGCAGUGUGUUAGGAUAGGUUCAGAUAGCAUGUUGCAAAUGUAUGUUGCUAAUUUAACCAAAAAGUAGGAGGGGUAUGUGGAUACAGUGGGUGUCUAAGUGAGUGGGUUGGAGAAGUUGCUAUAAAAACCCUGCUCCUCGAGACCGUUUUCAUCAGGCCCCAGCGUUACUCCGGAAUCUCCCACAACCCCUUAUUAGAAUCGCAGUGACCAGGAGGGCGUGUGUGGGAAGGGGGCGUGGGCACUGUGCCCCCCUGCCCAGCGAGGAGUCUCUGCAACCUGCCUUCCCUGCCCGACAGCCGCCUGCCAGCCUCUGCUGUUCAGCCUCUUCUCCCCAGCCCCCCAACCUGAAGUCCCAACCGCCUCCUCCUCUAGGAACAUCUUAGUCCCUGACCCCCUGUCCUGUCUCCCACCCCCACUGUCCCAUCCACUGGUCCCUCCAUCAUUUGGGUUCCUCGUAAUGAAGGGUAAUAAAGAUACA